AUUGAACGCUGGCGGCAGGCUUAACACAUGCAAGUCGAGCGAGCGGCGGACGGGUGAGUAAUGUCUGGGACACUGCCUGAUGGAGGGGGAUAACUACUGGAACCUGUAUCUAAUACCGCAUACCAUCAGAUGUGCCCAGAUGGGAUUAGCUAGUAGGUGGGGUAAUGGCUCACCUAGGCGACGAUCCCUAGCUGGUCUGAGAGGAUGACCAGCCACACGGGAACUGAGACACGGUCCAGACGACUACGAGAGGCAGCAGUGGGGAAUAUUGCACAAUGGGCGCAAGCCUGAGGCAGCCAUGCCGCGUGUGUGAAGAAGGCCUUCGGGUUGUAAAGUACGUUCAGCGGGGAGGCGUUACGCGCAGAAGAAGCACCGGCUAACUCCGUGCCAGCAGCCGCGGUAAUAC
rnacentral:rRNA from 1 species